ensembl:snRNA U7 U7 small nuclear RNA
CACUGUUAUAGCUCUUUUAGAAUUUGGCUAGCAGGUUUCCUAUUCUUUACUGAAAAAAAAAUCCCCU